rnacentral:lncRNA from 10 species
AUAUUCUCUUAACCUUUUGGAAUUAAACCAGCCAAAUAGAGUGUAACAUGUUUCUUAAUCAUUUGGGCCACCUUCUCCUUUCUGAAUGGAUGUUGGUUUCAGUGGGAAUGUUUUCUGUGGUUGUGGAUCAUUGAGAAGAUGGUGCUGAUUUGCUCUGGUAAGCUGAAGGAACAACCAGGCACGUGGCAUGAAGUGAAAUAAGGACAAAUGCAAGAGACAUCCUGGAGACAGGCAACUGAGGACAAAGAAAGUCUGUGGGGAAAGGGUGGUGAACCAGGUGCCCACCUGCCAGCAUUAUUGCUGAGGCACAUCUCAGCCAGGCCAUCAAGCUCCAGAUGAUCCUCAGUGAGGGAUACCGCUCUCUCAGUAUUCAAGAGUCACCCUUCCACAGAGAAGCCCUAGACUGCCCAUCAGUGGAAUAUGAGAGAGAGCCAGAGCCUUCAGACCAAGACAAUCGAACAUCCCUGGAUAUCUGAGAUAGCCAGCCUUUCUUCUGGAGAGCUUCCCAGGUAACCAGCAUCCGAAACCCCAGCUGCUGUCUCCAUGGUGAUCAGGAUACC